GCUGCCGACAACAGCCAGACCAGACGAUGUCCAAUGUCUUUGAUACUGCUAAGAAGACAUGGAGCAAGCCAUUAAUGAAGGGCGCGCCACCGUCUCCCAGGGAUAGUCAUAGUUGUACAACUGUUGGAAAUAGGUUGUUUGUGUUUGGUGGUACUGAUGGGACUACCCCUCUCAAGGAUUUACAUGUACUGGACACUUCAUGCAAUACAUGGAUAGUACCAGCUGUGAGCGGUGAGGGACCUGAUGCACGUGAAGGGCACAGUGCUACGCUAGUUGACAAGAGACUCUUCAUAUUUGGAGGUUGUGGAAAAUCGAGUGAUACUCAUCAAGAACUAUAUUUCAAUGAUCUGUAUAUUUUGGACACAGAAAAAUUUAUCUGGGAGCGUGCUAUCACAUCUGGAACCCCACCUUCUCCACGUGAUAGUCAUACCUGCUCUUCAUGGAAUAGAAAAAUCAUCGUUCUCGGUGGUGAAGAUCAGUCAGAUUGUUAUCUAUCUGAUGUUUACAUGCUUGAUGCAGAGGCACUAGUAUGGAAGCAAGUGAACACUUCAGGACAGAUGCUGGCCCCUCGUGCAGGUCAUACAACUGUACUAGUGGGAAGUUGCUUGUUUGUAUUUGGGGGCUUCACUGAUUCCCGGAACCUCUAUGACGACCUUCAUGUUCUAAAUGUUGGUACUAGUACUUGGAGCAGAGUCGUCACUACAAAUAAAGGGCCAUCAGCUCGAUUUUCAGUAGCUGGUGACUGUUUGGAUGAGCAAAGUGGCAUUAUUGCAUUCAUAGGUGGAUGCAAUAGACAUCUCGAGGCCCUAGAUGAUAUGUACUAUUUGCACACAAGUAUGAAGCGGGAAAAUGGUUUAACUGAACAAAUGCAAGAUAAGUCCUCUGGUAGGAGAGUAUUCAACAUGUGUCCUGAAAAUAAUCUUCCAGCCAAAGAACCAGAGAAAAACAAUAAUGUCAACAUGCAGGGGCUGAAGUCUGAUCCAUCCCCUUUCACACCUCUGCAAACACAGACAAAUGAAAGUAAUCUUAGUGCAAGUCCUAUAUCAGGUGAUUCCAGUUCAGCUUUAAAGGUUCCAUUCGAAGCGACAAUUACAGAAGAAAAUCAACAUGGAUAUUCAAUAGAAACAAUCAUCGAUGGUAAAUUGUUUCGUGGAGUGGUGUUCUCCUCCACAGCACUUCCUUAUCAGGAUGGUCGCAAUUACCCAAAAAAGAGAAGGAUGCGAAAAGGCUAUGAAGGAAUUAAACUGAGUGAGCACCAACCUUUAUCAAACACUCCACGAGUCAUCCCUCAGGAAACUAAAACCUCAGGCCAGGAGCAAAUUACUGCUACUUAUGCAAAGGGAUCAGCAUCAAAAGCGUCAUCCACGGAUAUUCUCGUCAUGGGUUUGACCAAGUCAACUACUACUGCUGGUCCUCAUCUCCCAAAUAUGGCAUCAGAGAAUGUGGAGCCACAAUUACAUUCAUCAAGAAACUUGGAAGCUGGAUUUCAAAAUAUGGGGUCAUUAAAAAGCCCUUUUGCAAUAAUGAUAAAUGACUCAAAAAAAUCAUAUGUAUCACCAGUGAAAGAUCUGACAACUACCCAAAUCAUGCAACCAUUGUCUAUGCCAUUAGAAACUCUCAAGAUUGACUCAGAAAAACUGGAGAUGUCGCAAAUGCCGACAGAAGACUUGAAACCAUCACCAGUGCCAUCUGAAACCCUGAAAGAUGCUGGCAUCUCUGAUGAAACGCCUGCUACUGAUAAAGACCAGCACCCUGAUCUUUUAAGCCAAGGCAUGUGAUACUAAUGUUUCCCACAAGCCCCUCCCUAUGCUCAUAAUUUGUCUUGACAGGCAGUUGACACUAAGUCAAAGAAUUGACAUUAGGAUAUGGUGUAGACCGGUUCUAAUUGAGCAAAAGGAUUUGGAGGAAAAUAGAAUUGGUAAAAAUCGAGUAAUCGACAAAGUGACUCGAGGUGCUUGUCAGAACAGCAGUUCUUUCUCUAUGCGCUUCAUGCUGGGAAAGAAUUUGCUCUCUGGAGCCAACUAACUAAAGUUUCAUCCAGAAGUAGCCUGUUAUUAUUUAAAAUCAGACUUUGUAGCAUGUGGGUUCGCCCUGUUGUGUUUAUGCUGUGUAUUUGCAUAAUAGAAAAGAGAGGAAAGAAAUAAUGCAAGUCAGCAAAUUGUCACGAUCUUCUGUGGAUCUUUACUUCUCAAUAUAUUUCUCCAUCGUUUUAAUCUCAACUUCA